rnacentral:rRNA from 1 species
UACGAAGGGGGCUAGCGUUGUUCGGAUUUACUGGGCGUAAAGCGCACGUAGGCGGCUAUUUAAGUCAGGGGUGAAAUCCCGGGGCUCAACCCCGGAACUGCCUUUGAUACUGGGUAUCUUUGAAUCCGGGAGAGGUGAGUGGAAUUCCGAGUGUAGAGGUGAAAUUCGUAGAUAUUCGGAAGAACACCAGUGGCGAAGGCGGCUCACUGGACCGGCAUUGACGCUGAGGUGCGAAAGCGUGGGGAGCAAACAGG